rnacentral:rRNA from 1 species
CUACGGGUGGCUGCAGUGAGGAAUAUUGCACAAUGGGGGGAACCCUGAUGCAGCAACGCCGCGUGGAGGAUGACGCAUUUCGGUGUGUAAACUCCUUUUAUAUGUCAAGAAAAUGACGGUAGCAUAUGAAUAAGCACCGGCUAACUCCGUGCCAGCAGCCGCGGUAAUACGGAGGGUGCAAGCGUUACUCGGAAUCACUGGGCGUAAAGGACGCGUGGGCGGGUUGGAAAGUCAGGUGUGAAAUCCUACAGCUUAACUGUAGAACUGCACUUGAAACUUCUACUCUAGAGUAUGGGAGGGGGAGAUGGAAUUAGUGGUGUAGGGGUAAAAUCCGUAGAUAUCACUAGGAAUACCUAAAGCGAAGGCGAUCUCCUGGAACAUUACUGACGCUAAGGCGUGAAAGCGUGGGGAGCAAACAGGAUUAGAUACCCGCGUAGUC